CUCUGUCCUAAAAGGCAAAUACUGAAAUGCUGAAGCUUGCUAAAUCCAGGUCAAGUAAAGCAUAACACAGGGAACACGUCAUAAACACUGGCUUUAAUACUGUGCUAUUUAAUAAUUAUAUAAGAAACACGGAAAUGCCUUGAAGCUGGUACAUUAAUUAAUUAAAUUCCUGCCAGCCUGAAGGGAGGUUUUUGUUUACUUAAGUGAGAAUUGUUGGAAUUCAAAGUGAAUGUCAAAUUAAAGUCCAAAGUAGAACUAGAAAUAUAGCAGACUUGGAGAAUUUGUCCAGUUUGGCAAUUAUGGCCUUAAAUUUGAAACUCACUUUAAAUACCUGACAAUUCUUACACUGGUGAAAAAUCCAGAUGUCUUCUAAUGUGUGCCCUGUUGAUGAGAAUUUAAUUAAAGGAAUACUGUAGUGCCAGGAAUACAAAGCUAUACAAACCCUUUAUUUACUUACCUUUUCCUAGCACCGAUGUCCAUCGGCACUGGGCCGACACUCCGCCCCCUCCUCCAUCCCGCGUCAUGCAGGAUCUAACAUGCAUACGUGGCAAAUGCGUGUGCAUUUGACCUCCCCAAAGAAAAGCAUUCAAUCAAUGCUUU